GUGCUUGCUGCAGCAGCACGUACACUAAAAUUGGACCUGUACAGGGAAGAUUAGCGUGGCCCCUGGACAAGGAUGGCACACAAACUCAUGAAACGUCCAUAUUGUUU